GAUGAACGCUGGCGGCGUGCCUAAUACAUGCAAGUCGAGCGAACGGACGAGAAGCUUGCUUCUCUGAUGUUAGCGGCGGACGGGUGAGUAACACGUGGAUAACCUACCUAUAAGACUGGGAUAACUUCGGAAAACCGGAGCUAAUACCGGAUAAUAUUUUGAACCGCAUGGUUCAAAAGUGAAAUACGGUCUUGCUGUCACUUAUAGAUGGAUCCGCGCUGCAUUAGCUAGUUGGUAAGGUAACGGCUUACCAAGGCAACGAUGCAUAGCCGACCUGAGAGGGUGAUCGGCCACACUGGAACUGAGACACGGUCCAGACUCCUACGGGAGGCAGCAGUAGGGAAUCUUCGGCAAUGGGCGAAAGCCUGGCGGAGCAACGCCGCGUGAGUGAUGACGGUCUUCGGAUCGUAAAACUCUGUUAUUAGGGAAGAACAUAUGUGUAAGUAACUGUGCACAUCUUGACGGUACCUAAUCAGAAAGCCACGGCUAACUACGUG
rnacentral:rRNA from 1 species